CAGUAGCCGCGGUAAUACGUAGGUGGCAAGCGUUGUCCGGAAUUAUUGGGCGUAAAGGGCUCGCAGGCGGUUUCUUAAGUCUGAUGUGAAAGCCCCCGGCUCAACCGGGGAGGGUCAUUGGAAACUGGGAAACUUGAGUGCAGAAGAGGAGAGUGGAAUUCCACGUGUAGCGGUGAAAUGCGUAGAGAUGUGGAGGAACACCAGCGGCGAAGGCGACUCUCUGGUCUGUAACUGACGCUGAGGAGCGAAAGCGUGGGGAGCGAACAGGAUUAGAUACCCGAGUAGUCCCUGUCUCUUAUAU
rnacentral:rRNA from 1 species